rnacentral:lncRNA from 1 species
CAUUUGUCCACUUCUCAGCCUUUUGGCUCAGAUCAAGUAUAGUUCCUGUUCUUAUCAGAGCAGAGGACCCUUCAUGCACUGGGGUGAGAGGGGGCAGGGAUCAAUCUCAUUUUUGGAUCACAGGUGUCCCAAUGUCCAAAGAAUCCAAGAUUUCUAGAUGGUGACAAGCUAUGUUGAUGCAGCCAGGAGGGCAGCCACCUCAGGAGGAGGACCAUCUAGAAGAGGAACAGCAGGACCAGAAGAGGAACAGCAGAAGAGAUUUCCCAAUGGGCUUCAAGCUUUGGACCAGAGACCUUCAGGUGUGCCCUGCCCCUCUGCCUACAACUCUCCUCUCCUGGAUUGGAACCAGGGACUUGGACCGGCCGUUCCUCUUCCCACACUGUGUGACCCCAUUUUGAGCCGCCAUGCACCCCAGAUAUGAAGCUUCCAGCUGUUCCUUUUUUCCUCCGCGGACGUCAUCAUAUGAAGGCACCAACACAUUGGCAAUGAAUAGAAGAGAAGCAAGAAUGUAGAACACGGCAUAAUGAAGAUUUUCACAAGAUUUUUUUUUUGCAAUCAGACUACCAAAAUUACACGAUAGAGUGGAGAUAAGCAAAUACUUCAAUGUUGGCAGACAACCAACACUGACUGAACCCAGGUCGCUUUUCCCUAAUAAAUGUGUCUUUUCAAUCCCA